rnacentral:lncRNA from 1 species
GAUGUUGCUGUGUGUGCGUGUGUGUGUGUGUGUGUGUGUGUGUGUGUGUGUGAUAAAUAAGCAAAAUUGUUUUCCUGGGACUCCAUCCAGGAACAUUAGAUAUGGGGUCCAGCCCCAGCGCACAGGAAACCCUGCUCAGGCAGAUGGUGUGGGAGAGCGAGGUUGUGCUUUGAUGCAUGGGGUAGAGGAACCCUAGGAGGCACUGAGACCUCGGUGGCUGUCCCAGGCUCUGUCCUCCCUGCAUAUGGCCUCAGGCAGCUCAAGGCUUAGCUUCCCACUGGCCUCCUCCCUCCCGGACACUCACGCAUUUCAGGUCUGACGGGUACCCGCCACCCAAUCCCUCUUUCUUUUGACGGGUACCCGCCACCCAAUCCCUCUUUCUUCUGAUGUCGACAGGAUCAAGCACAAGCCUCCUUGGCAGGGAUGAGGGGUCCUCAGGUCUGGCUGGGCCCACCUGGCUGCUUCCUGGUCUCUACCACAUGCCCCAGCCUCACCCCACGGCCCGCCCAGCACCCGCCAGGCAUGCAGUGGCCCCUCUCUUCUCCUCGACAACUGCGUGCUGUUCCCGGCAGACCCUUGCGUUUCCUGUUCUCUGCCUGGAAAGCCAUGUCUUGUUCUCCACGCCCAGUUCUGAUGUCACCUUUCUCACACCCAGGAGUCCUCUGUGACCUGGGAGGGGGCCCACUCCCCCUACCCUCAGCGCUGGGCACUGGCUUGUGAUGGUCUCCUGGCCACAUGGGGAGCUCCUCGAGGGCAAGGCCUGGGAACAUCUGGAGUCAGUGAACACAGCAGGAAGGGGGGAUGGUCAAGCGCACCACAGGCUUGGAAGCAGACACGCCCAGUUCAAGCCCCACUCCAGCCCUCCUCAAGUGGGUCACUCCUCACGGCCUGUGAGUUCACCUCUUCAUCUGAGCUCGCUUCAGAUGACGCCCCCAGUGCCAGGUGAUCAUCUGCCGCUGUGUCCUCAGCAUCUGGCCCAGCCCCAUGGGGACCAUCUGUUAAAGCUCCAUCUACCCUACGAGGAGGCGAGUCCCCAAGGGCAGGGCUGGGUCUGAUUCACCUCUUCCUCCCCGGAGCCCAGGGUUCACUCUGCAACUCUGCUGGCUGAAGGGCCUGCUCCCAGCCCAGCUUGGCUGUCCAGUGGGGAGGGGCACCGCUGCCUUGCCCGAGGUUCCCUCUGCACCCCACGAUGGGCGCUGCGUCCUCCAUCCUCUGGUGCACCAGGUUAGCUUGACUCCAGGUGCCCUGCUGGUGUGGCUCCACCUGGUCGCUGGGGUCUGUCUUCCCAGCUCCCAUCCGCCCUUCCCUGCAUCCUCCUGGGCUGGUUCCAGUUUGGGGCCAUCAUCUCUUGUGCAUCUUUGCUCACGGCGUCUUCUGCACCUGCACUCCCAUCUGACCUUUCCAGACCAACUUCCACCCUGCCCCAACAGAGUGCUUUCAGAUCACCCGCCCUGCGAAAAUGUGUCGGUGAUCACUGUGACUAGAACAAGUCCUCGUGUCUCUCUAUGUGAGCCCCCAACCCACUCUCCAGCUACCCCUAGAACCAAAACAGCAUCCUGCCGCUGCCACGGUGGUGCAGCCACACUGAGCAUCCCAAACCUCGCCGGAAGCACGUUCCUCCUCCGUGCCUGUGCUUCUGCUGGUCUAAAUCAUUAUCUAUUGCUGAGGCUCACAGCAGAUGUCGCCUCUUCCAUAAAAGCUUUUCUGACUCCUUCACCCAGGAAGCAGGGUCCUGCCCUCCUCUGCAGCCCCACGUGGCCCACUUGGCAUGAGUGGCUGGCUUGCUCGCCUUCCUGGCCACACCAGAUGGGCUGUGCUUUCUUCACCUCUGCAUUCCAGGUGUCUCCUACGGACCUGGAAUGGGGUGGUCAUUUGGUGCGUGUUUGUUGAAACUGAAUUUUACAUGGCAGGGAUUUCAGACUCUUCUCUGGUUGGGUUUUGGGCUGACUGCUGAACAGUCCAUUUGCUAUCAGACAAAAUUCAGUUGCGGUCACGUCAGACAUUUCCUUUAGCCAAAUCGUUAUCUGAGGGUAUCACUGGAAUACACAUCAGCACUAGCUUGAUCUGCUUGGAAACCACCAAUGGCAUCCGCUCCGAGUCUUCCGAUGAUGUCCAGAUGGGAGCUGCUGCGCUUAGUGCAUUUUCUAUCAUUAAGCUGACGGGAGCUCCACGUCUGAGAGGGGCGUUUGGCCUUGGGUGGGUCACGCCUCUCUGUGUGCCCGUUUCUCCUCUGGAGCGGCAAGAAGCAGCAGCCAGAGUAUCAGCAAGGUCCCAUGGAAGGUGGAGUGAUCUCCAUUUUGCUAAUGCAAAGCACCCUUGGCAGUCAGUGUCCUGCACAUUUAUACAGAGCUCCAAGCCCACUGUGGUAGACUGGGGCUUCCCUUGGUGGCUGCAACAUCUGGCCUCACCACCGUGUUGAAUGGAGGAGACCCUAGCAUAUCAUCCAAACGCCUACUUCCCACUUCUGGGAACUUCUCGCUCCCAGAUUCAGAAACUGUCCUGGGGCACCAGCAGUGACUUGAGCAGGGGAAGAGUGGGGCCAAGCCUGGCCUCCAGAAGCCAUCGGCCUCCAGAAGCCGUCAGCCUCCAGAAGCCGUCAGCCUCCAGUCCAGAGUGGCACAGCCAGCAAGCUUCACAGCGACUUCCUUCCAGGAGGACCAGGUGCAGCUAGCACUGCUGCAAGCCAAGUAGGACACCAACCCCUUUUUAUUGUUCCUGGGCUAUAAGGUCACGGACUUGCUUUCCCCCUCCUGACUGAUUCCUGCUGGCUCCAGGGCAGAUAUGCCCACGUCCCUGCACCCCGAGGGCUGCUCCUCAUGGCAGCAAAGCCCAGCCAGGGCAGCCUGAGAUGGGGUUGGGGGAGACAAGGAAAUGAAUGACUGCUCAGUGUGUGUGCCCCUUCAAGGUUUAGCAAGCUCCCCGCACACCCACCUUCUUGACCCAGCCAGAGGUGAGGACCUUAGGCUGCAUCCGUCGGCCCCUUCUGCCCUGGGGUGGGAGGCCGAAGCUAUUCAGUGCGGGUCAGGAGGGACAGCAUCAGUCAUGUGAGCACAGCUAGGCAGGCCUCAGGGAGGCUGGCUUGGUAGGUGUGUAUCUUGUCCUGUCCAGGGGAGACGAACAGGUCUGGGGCCCUAAACACCUUGACCCCUGGAGAGAUGAAGUGUUCCCCCCCACACCACCCUCCUGUCCUUGUUCAGACUCCUCUGGCUCCAAUUCCAGCUCCCAGGAAACUUCACACCUCGAGAGGAUGUGACCUGGGUUAAGGUGAUGGCCUUCUGGAAACUGGAAGAGAACACCCCUCCAUGGCAGGUAACAAGAGACGCUUCAUCUUCAAGUCUUUUCUUCUGUCCAGAAAGCACUCAGAGAAAUUACAAUAAUAAAGUUAGUCCAUUAUA